UACGUAGGGGGCAAGCGUUGUCCGGAAUUACUGGGCGUAAAGCGUGCGUAGACGGUUAUUUAAGUCGGGUGUGAAAGCCCCGGGCUCAACCUGGGAAUUACAUUCGAGACUGAAUAGCUAGGGUACGGUAGAGGGAAGCGGAAUUUCCGGUGUAGCGGUGAAAUGCGUAGAUAUCGGAAGGAACAUCAGUGGCGAAAGCGGCUUCCUGGACCAGUACCGACGUCAGGCACGAAAGCGUGGGGAGCAAACAGG
rnacentral:rRNA from 1 species